rnacentral:rRNA from 1 species
CCUACGGGAGGCAGCAGUGGGGAAUAUUGCACAAUGGGGGAAACCCUGAUGCAGCGACGCCGCGUGAAGGAAGAAGUAUUUCGGUAUGUAAACUUCUAUCAGCAGGGAAGUAAAUGACGGUACCUGACUAAGAAGCCCCGGCUAACUACGUUCCAGCAGCCGCGGUAAUACGUAGGGGGCAAGCGUUAUCCGGAUGUACUGGGUGUAAAGGGAGCGUAGGCGGUGAUGCAAGUCAGAAGUGAAAGCCAGCAGCUCAACUGCGGGACUGCUUUUGAAACUGGAUGACUUGAUUGCAGGAGAGGUAAGUGGAAUUCCUAGUGUAGCGGUGAAAUGCGUAGAUAUUAGGAGGAACACCAGUGGCGAAGGCGGCUUACUGGACUGUAAAUGACGCUGAGGAGCGAAAGCGUGGGUAGCAAACAGGAUUAGAUACCCUUGUAGUC